rnacentral:rRNA from 1 species
UUCUGUUGGUGCUAUCAGAAGUGCGAAUGCUGACAUGAGUAACGUAAGGGGAGUGAGAGACUCCCCCGCCGAAAGACCAAGGGUUCCUGCUUAAAGCUAAUCUGAGCAGGGUUAGCCGGCCCCUAAGACGAGGCGGAAACGCGUAGUCGAUGGGAACCACGUUAAUAUUCGUGGGCCUGGAGGUAGUGACGGAUCAUUGAGGUAGUCCAAUCUUAUCGGAUUGAACGGGCUGCUGCGUGGUUCCAGGAAAUAGCUCCUCCUUAUAGACCGUACCCGAAACCGACACUGGUGGUCUGGUAGAGUAUACCAAGGCGCUUGAGAGAACUAUGCUGAAGGAACUCGGCAAAUUGCACGCGUAACUUCGGAAGAAGCGUGACCCUUUUCUACGCAAGUAGAGGAGGGUGGCACAGACCAGGGGGUAGCGACUGUUUAUCAAAAACACAGGGCUCUGCGAAGUCGCAAGACGACGUAUAGGGUCUGACGCCUGCCCGGUGCUGGAAGGUUAAGAGGAGGGGUGCAAGCUCUGAAUCGAAGCCCCAGUAAACGGCGGCCGUAACCAUAACGGUCCUAAGGUAGCGAAAUUCCUUGUCGGGUAAGUUCCGACCUGCACGAAUGGCGUAACGACUUCCCCGCUGUCUCCAGCAUAGACUCAGUGAAAUUGAAUUCCCCGUGAAGAUGCGGGGUUCCUGCGGUUAGACGGAAAGACCCCGUGCACCUUUACUAUAGCUUUACAUUGGCAUUCGUAGUGGCAUGUGUAGGAUAGGUGGUAGGCUUUGAAACCUGGGCGCCAGCUCAGGUGGAGCCAUCCUUGAAAUACCACCCUUAUCACUAUGGAUGUCUAACCGCGGCCCGUUAUCCGGGUCCGGGACAAUGUAUGGUGGGUAGUUUGACUGGGGCGGUCGCCUCCUAAAGAGUAACGGAGGCGCGCGAUGGUGGGCUCAGAACGGUCGGAAAUCGUUCGCUGAGUGCAAUGGCAUAAGCCUGCCUGACUGCGAGACUGACAAGUCGAGCAGAGACGAAAGUCGGUCAUAGUGAUCCGGUGGUCCCGCGUGGAAGGGCCAUCGCUCAACGGAUAAAAGGUACGCCGGGGAUAACAGGCUGAUGACCCCCAAGAGUCCAUAUCGACGGGGUUGUUUGGCACCUCGAUGUCGACUCAUCGCAUCCUGGGGCUGGAGCAGGUCCCAAGGGUAUGGCUGUUCGCCAUUUAAAGCGGUACGUGAGUUGGGUUCAGAACGUCGUGAGACAGUUCGGUCCCUAUCUGCCGUGGGUGUAGGAAUAUUGAAAGGAUCUGUCCCUAGUACGAGAGGACCGGGAUGGACGGAUCUCUGGUGGACCUGUUGUGGCGCCAGCCGCAUAGCAGGGUAGCUAUAUCCGGACGGGAUAACCGCUGAAGGCAUCUAAGCGGGAAACCCACCUUAAAACGAGUAUUCCCUGAGAACCGUGGAAGACGACCACGUUGAUAGGCCGGGUGUGGAAGAGCGGCAACGCUUGAAGCUUACCGGUACUAAUAGUUCU